AUAUGCAUUUCCUUUACCGGAUAUUUCCUUAAUUAUUAAAUAUCUCUGCCUUUGUAACACUCCCUGUUAAAGCGAUAUGUAUCUUACUAUUAUAAAACCAGUUACAGCAAUAGGCAUCUAAUUCUAACAAAAAACUGUGUAAUAGUAAUGCUGGAAAUAUCAUUGUACAAAUUUAAUUUAGCCUCAAUCCAUGGCUAAUACAUGCUGUUUUUUUUGAAGGGAUCAAGCGUUACAUACCUAAUUUUGCAUCCUAGAAAACUAUUUUCGCAGAUCUUGAAAAACAAGUUAUGCUCCUUCCUAGAUUCCCUUCUUUUUUAAUGACAAGUUCGUAGUUUAGGAAACUGUCUAAAGACUCACUGAAACGGAUCGCUGAUCUGAAUGUAAUAUUUUUUCCACAUCUUUCAAAUGUAAACAUUACUGCGCUGGAUCGGCAUGUGAAUCUUAUAAGAUCCAUUGAAUAAGAGAAAAUCCCUUUU